rnacentral:rRNA from 1 species
UGCAUGUCGAACGAAGUCAUUUAUGGCUUAGUGGCGAAUGGGUGAGUAACACGUACCUAACCUACCUUUUAGAUUGGGAUAACUGAUGGAAACAUCAGCUAAUACCGAAUACGCAUUUGAAACGCAUGUUUCUUUUGUAAAAGGAGCGUUUGCUCCGCUAGAAGAUGGGGGUGCGCCAUAUUAGUUAGUUGGUAGGGUAAAGGCCUACCAAGACGAUGAUAUGUAGCCGGACUGAGAAGUUGAUCGGCCACACUGGGACUGAGAUACGGCCCAGACUCCUACGGGAGGCAGCAGUAGGGAAUUUUCCGCAAUGAGCGAAAGCUUGACGGAGCGACACAGCGUGCAGGAUGAAGAUCUUCGGAUUGUAAACUGCUGUUAUAAGGGAAGAAACAAAUUAAUAGGAAAUGAUUAAUUCUUGACGGUACCUUAUUAGAAAGUGACGGCUAACUAUGUGCCAGCAGCCGCGGUAAUACAUAGGUCACAAGCGUUAUCCGGAAUUAUUGGGCGUAAAGCGUUCGUAGGCGGUUUGUCAAGUCUAGAGUUAAAGCCUGGGGCUCAACCCCAGCCCGCUCUGGAUACUGGCUGACUAGAGUUACAUAGAGGUAAGCGGAAUUCUUAGUGAAGCGGUGGAAUG